UACAGAGGUCCCAAGCGUUGUUCGGAUUCACUGGGCGUAAAGGGUGCGCAGGUGGUCGGGUAAGUCUGACGUGAAAUCCCGCAGCUUAACUGCGGAAUGGCAUUGGAUACUAUUCGGCUAGAGGGUUGGAGGGGGGACUGGAAUUCUCGGUGUAGCAGUGAAAUGCGUAGAUAUCGAGAGGAACACCAGUGGCGAAGGCGAGUCCCUGGACAACUCCUGACGCUGAGGCACGAAAGCUAGGGGAGCAAACGGG
rnacentral:rRNA from 1 species